UACGGAGGAGGCAAGCGUUAUCCGGAAUUAUUGGGCGUAAAGCGUCCGUCGGUGGUUCACCAAGUCUGCUGUCAAAGGGUGGGGCUUAACCUCAUAAAGGCAGUGGAAACUGGUGAGCUAGAGUGCGGUAGGGGUAAGGGGAAUUCCCAGUGUAGCGGUGAAAUGCGUAGAGAUUGGGAAGAACAUCGGUGGCGAAAGCGCCUUACUGGGCCUGCACUGACACUGAGGGACGAAAGCUAGGGGAGCGAAAGGG
rnacentral:rRNA from 1 species